rnacentral:rRNA from 1 species
CGCCCUGUUUAAACAAAACAUGUCUUUUUGAUUUGAAGUUAUAAAGUCUGACCUGCCCACUGAUUAAAUUUGAAGGGCCGCGGUAUUUUGACCGUGCAAAGGUAGCAUAAUCAUUAGUCUUUUAAUUGAAGGCUGGUAUGAAUGGUUUAACGAAGUAUUAACUGUCUCAUUAUAAUUUUUUGAAUUUAACUUUUUAGUUAAAAGGCUAAAAUGCAAUUAUAGGACGAGAAGACCCUAUAGAGCUUUAUAUAUGUAUUUAAUAAUUAUUUUUAGUUGUUUUUAAUAAUUUUUAAUUAAAUUUAUUUGGUUGGGGUGACUUGAAGAUUUAAUAAACUCUUUAUUUAUAUGAACAUAGAUUCAUGAGAAAUUGAUCCAUUAUUAAUGAUUAAAAGAUUAAGUUACCUUAGGGAUAACAGCGUA